GAUGAACGCUGGCGGCGUGCCUAAUACAUGCAAGUCGAGCGAACAGACGAGGAGCUUGCUCCUCUGACGUUAGCGGCGGACGGGUGAGUAACACGUGGAUAACCUACCUAUAAGACUGGGAUAACUUCGGGAAACCGGAGCUAAUACCGGAUAAUAUAUUGAACCGCAUGGGUCAAUAGUGAAAGACGGUUUUGCUGUCACUUAUAGAUGGAUCCGCGCCGCAUUAGCUAGUUGGUAAGGUAACGGCUUACCAAGGCAACGAUGCGUAGCCGACCUGAGAGGGUGGUCGGCCACACUGGAACUUGGCCACGGUCCAGACUCCUACGGGAGGCAGCAGUAGGGAAUCUUCCGCAAUGGGCGAAAGCCUGACGGAGCAACGCCGCGUGAGUGAUGAAGGUCUUCGGAUCGUAAAACUCUGUUAUUAGGGAAGAACAAAUGUGUAAGUAACUAUGCACGUCUUGACGGUACCUAAUCAGAAAGCCACGGCUAACUACGUG
rnacentral:rRNA from 1 species